AGUGAACGCUGGCGGUAGGCCUAACACAUGCAAGUCGAACGGCAGCACAGGAGAGCUUGCUCUCUCGGUGGCGAGUGGCGGACGGGUGAGGAAUACAUCGGAAUCUGCCCAGUCGUGGGGGAUAACGUAGGGAAACUUACGCUAAUACCGCAUACGACCUUCUGGUGAAAGAGGGGGAUCGCAAGACCUCUCGCGAUUGGGUGAGCCGAGGUCGGCUUAGCUAGUUAGCGGGGUAAUGGCCCCCCAAGGCGACGAUCCGUAGCUGGUCUGAGAGGAUGAUCGGCGACACUGGAACUGAGACACGGUCCAGACUACUACGGGAGGCAGCAGUGGGGAAUAUUGGACAAUGGGCGCAAGCCUGAUCCAGCCAUACCGCGUGGGUGAAGAAGGCCUUCGGGUUGUAAAGACCUUUUGUUGGGAAAGAAAUCUUUCAGGCUAAUACCCUGGGAGGAUGACGGUACCCAAAGAAUAAGCACCGGCUAACUUCGUG
rnacentral:rRNA from 1 species